UACAGAGGGUGCAAGCGUUAAUCGGAAUUACUGGGCGUAAAGCGUGCGUAGACGGUUAUGUAAGUUAGGUGUGAAAGCCCCGGGCUCAACCUGGGAAUUGCAUUUGAGACUGCAUAGCUAGGGUGCGGAAGAGGGAAGCGGAAUUUCCGAUGUAGCGGUGAGAUGCGUAGAUAUCGGAAGGAACAUCAGUGGCGAAAGCGGCUUCCUGGUCCAGCACCGACGUUCAGGCACGAAAGCGUGGGGAGCAAACAGG
rnacentral:rRNA from 1 species